CCUACGGGAGGCAGCAGUAAGGAAUAUUGGACAAUGGACGCAAGUCUGAUCCAGCCAUGCCGCGUGAAGGAUUAAGGCCCUCUGGGUUGUAAACUUCUUUUAUAGGGGACGAAAAAAGGGCUUUCUAGCUCGACUGACGGUACCCUAUGAAUAAGCACCGGCUAACUCCGUGCCAGCAGCCGCGGUAAUACGGAGGGUGCAAGCGUUAUCCGGAUUCACUGGGUUUAAAGGGUGCGUAGGCGGGCAGUUAAGUCAGUGGUGAAAUCUUCGAGCUCAACUCGGAAACUGCCAUUGAUACUAUCUGUCUUGAAUAUUGUGGAGGUGAGCGGAAUAUGUCAUGUAGCGGUGAAAUGCUUAGAUAUGACAUAGAACACCGAUUGCGAAGGCAGCUCGCUACACAAAUAUUGACGCUGAGGCACGAAAGCGUGGGGAUCAAACAGGAUUAGAUACCCUGGUAGUCCACGCCCUAAACUAUGGAUACUCGACAUUUGCGAUACACAGUAAGUGUCUGAGCGAAAGCAUUAAGUAUCCCACCUGGAAGUACGACCGCAAGGUUGAAACUCAAAUGAAUUGACGG
rnacentral:rRNA from 1 species